rnacentral:rRNA from 1 species
CCUACGGGCGGCAGCAGUGGGGAAUAUUGCACAAUGGGCGCAAGCCUGAUGCAGCCAUGCCGCGUGUGUGAAGAAGGCCUUCGGGUUGUAAAGCACUUUCAGCGGGGAGGAAGGCGGUGAGGUUAAUAACCUCAUCGAUUGACGUUACCCGCAGAAGAAGCACCGGCUAACUCCGUGCCAGCAGCCGCGGUAAUACGGAGGGUGCAAGCGUUAAUCGGAAUUACUGGGCGUAAAGCGCACGCAGGCGGUCUGUCAAGUCGGAUGUGAAAUCCCCGGGCUCAACCUGGGAACUGCAUUCGAAACUGGCAGGCUAGAGUCUUGUAGAGGGGGGUAGAAUUCCAGGUGUAGCGGUGAAAUGCGUAGAGAUCUGGAGGAAUAGCGGUGGCGAAGGCGGCCCCCUGGACAAAGACUGACGCUCAGGUGCGAAAGCGUGGGGAGCAAACAGGAUAGAUACCCGUGUAGUC